AUUGAACGCUGGCGGCAGGCCUAACACAUGCAAGUCGAGCGAGCGGCGGACGGGUGAGUAAUGUCUGGGAAACUGCCUGAUGGAGGGGGAUAACCACUGGAAACGGUAGCUAAUACCGCAUACCAUCAGAUGUGCCCAGAUGGGAUUAGCUAGUAGGUGGGGUAACGGCUCACCUAGGCGACGAUCCCUAGCUGGUCUGAGAGGAUGACCAGCCACACUGGAACUGAGAAACGGUCCAGACUCCUAAGGGAGGCAGCAGUGGGGAAUAUUGCACAAUGGGCGCAAGCCUGAGGCAGCCAUGCGGCGUGUGUGAAGAAGGCCUUCGGGUUGUAAAGCCCUUUCAGCGGGGAGGCGUUACCCGCAGAAGAAGCACCGGCUAACUCCGUGCCAGCCGCCGCGGUAAUAC
rnacentral:rRNA from 1 species